UGGAAACGUGCCGCAGGCUCAUCAAGGGCUCAGCCGACAGGAAUUCUCCAUCCCCCAGCUCCGUAGCCAGCAGCGACUCAGGAAACACAGACGAAAUUCAGGACGAUUUGGACAGAGAGACGGACGUGGAGCCCAUGGUCAGCUGAUAGGAAAUGGGAAGAAUUCCAGAAAAAAAAAAAAAAGAAAGAAAGAAAGAUUCCAAACCAAUUGCUGGGGGAAAGGUGAAAAGACUGGAGAGCCCCUGCAGAGGGACUCUGAUUCCUACACACAUCCCCUCCCUCCCAAGGAUUGGUGCUGUACAUUUCUAUUCUUCAAACCAUAAAUGCAGAGUUCUGUAGGAAAACACGGUGUUUUAAUUGUGCCUUUGCCCCAAGCUGAGCCACUUUGAGCUCCAGUGGAAUAUUAAUAACAGGUGUUUUUAUAU